CAUGGCCAUGGAGGAUACGGACACGCGGUGGAGGACACGGCGGCGGUUAUGGUAAAGGACAUGGCGGCGGUGGAUACGGACACGGCGGGGGACACGGAGGAUAUGGAAAGGGACACGGAGGAUACGGGUACCACUAGGAGCCGACAAUCAAAGAAACACGCAACUGUAAAAUAAUGAAUAAAUAUAUAACUUAGUAAAA
rnacentral:lncRNA from 1 species